CUGGCCUGUCUUCCUAGGAGUAGAUGAUGCUGUACCCUGUGAGGUAGAGCCUUGCAGAGGUAAUUAAACUAAGCCCUAGAAGAGGAACUCUGCCAGUCUGUUGACAAAGUCCACACUGAAAGCUAGACCAUACACUCUCUGGAGACAGGGACCAUAUGGCCAGCUCCAAGCCCAAGACCUAUAUCAUAUAACAGGUUCAUUGCAGAUGUAAUUAGUUAAGCUGAAGUAACACUGGAGAAGGGUGGGCCCCUAAGCCACUGCGACUUGUAUCCUUAUAAAAAGAGAAAUCUGGACACAGACGCACAGGGAAGAUGUCAUGUGAAGAUGAAGCCAAUGAUCGGGGUGAUGCCUUUACAAGCCCAAAACCAGCAAAGAUUGCCAGCAAACCACCAGAAGCGAGGAGAGAAGCACGGAACAGACCCUCCUCACAGCCUCAGAAGGAACCAACCCUGCCAACACCUUGAUCUUGGAGUUCUAGCUUCCAGAAAGUUUCUGUGAUUGACUUCACGC